rnacentral:misc_RNA from 1 species
UUUCCGUAGGUGAACCUGCGGAAGGAUCAUUAAUGUAACCGGACCGGUCCUCUGCCGUCAAACGCAGCGGAUGGGAAUGGGAGAUAUCUUACACCCCUAUGUUUAUUUACUUUUGUUGCUUUGGCGGGCCGUCCUUUUAGGCGUCGGCCCCGGCUGAUCGCGCCCGCCAGAGGACCCAAACUCUUUUAUCAGUGAUGUCUGAGUACUAUAUAAUAGUUAAAACUUUCAACAACGGAUCUCUUGGUUCUGGCAUCGAUGAAGAGCGCAGC